UACGUAGGGGGCUAGCGUUGUCCGGAAUCAUUGGGGCGUAAAGAGCGUGUAGGCGGUCCGGUAAGUCCGCUGUGAAAGUCGGGGGCUCAACCCUCGAAUGCCGGUGGAUACUGUCGGGCUAGAGUGCGGAAGAGGCGAGUGGAAUUCCUGGUGUAGCGGUGAAAUGACGCAGAUAUCAGGAGGAACACCUAUUGCGAAGGCAGCUCGCUGGGACGUAACUGACGCUGAGACGCGAAAGCGUGGGGAGCAAACAGG
rnacentral:rRNA from 1 species